GCGGCGCUGCUGGCUCCAGGCCGCCCUCCGGAUCCGAUCCUGCGAAUGGUUUUGGCCACAUCUUCAUGCCCAGAGCCAUGGCUAUCUCCUCUUCCUCCUGCGAACUGCCCCUGGUGGCUGUGUGCCAGGUAACAUCGACGCCAGACAAGCAACAGAACUUUAAAACAUGUGCUGAGCUGGUUCGAGAGGCUGCCAGACUGGGUGCCUGCCUGGCUUUCCUGCCUGAGGCAUUUGACUUCAUUGCACGGGACCCUGCAGAAACGCUACGCCUGUCUGAACCACUGGGUGGGAAACUUUUGGAAGAAUACAGCCAGCUUGCCAGGGAAUGUGGACUCUGGCUGUCCUUGGGUGGUUUCCAUGAGCGUGGCCAAGACUGGGAGCAGACUCAGAAAAUCUACAAUUGUCACGUGCUGCUGAACAGCAAAGUAGUGGCCACUUACAGGAAGACACAUCUGUGUGAUGUAGAGAUUCCAGGGCAGGGGCCUAUGUGUGAAAGCAA
rnacentral:sRNA from 1 species